rnacentral:lncRNA from 1 species
UUGUAGCAGGUCCGUCGGUGGCAUUGCUUGUGGCGAGCAGUCAGCUGUUGGCAGGGGAAGGUGGUGCGCUGUGCGUGUAGUGUCACAAGGUGCUGCCUGCGUGGUGCUUGUUCCACUGUGCGAGCAGUCAGCUGUUGGCAGGGGAAGGUGGUGCACUGUGCGUGUAGUGUCACAAGGUGCUGCCUGCAUGGUGCUUGUUCCGCUGUGCGGCCAUUGUGGGCUGUUCAUCAUCAUAACUGACGCCGACUUGCUUGGGAUUGAGGCAUUGUUGUUGUACUUGUGGAAUAUAUUGUGUUACUAAAAAGCAUUAGACUCACCCAGAUCUUUACCGACUUCUACUCUUUCCGUGAGGUCUUUGCAC